rnacentral:tRNA from 1 species
AUACUGAUGGCAGACUAAUGCAUAAAACUUAAGCUUUUACAACGGAUUAUCAUCCUCAGUGUU